AGACGGAGGGGGCGAGCGUUGUUCGGAAUUAUUGGGCGUAAAGGGCGCGUAGGCGGAUCGACAAGUCCGGCGUGAAAUCUCCACCACUCAACGGGGAGGCGCCGCUGGAAACUAUCGAUCUGGAGUUCGGUAGAGGAGCAUGGAAUUCCGGGUGUAGCGGUGGAAUGCGUAGAUAUCCGGAAGAACACCUGUGGCGAAGGCGGUGCUCUGGGCCGACACUGACGCUGAGGCGCGAAAGCCAGGGGAGCAAACGGGAUUAGAUACCCCGGUAGUCCUGGCUGUAAACGGUGGAUACUAGGUGUGGGGGGUAUCGACCCCUCCCGUGCCGUAGUUAACACAUUAAGUAUCCCGCCUGGGGAGUACGGCCGCAAGGUUGAA
rnacentral:rRNA from 1 species